rnacentral:rRNA from 1 species
AACGAACGCUGGCGGCAUGCCUAACACAUGCAAGUCGAACGAGACCUUCGGGUCUAGUGGCGCACGGGUGCGUAACGCGUGGGAAUCUGCCCUCUGGUACGGAAUAACCCAGGGAAACUUGAGCUAAUACCGUAUAAUGACUUCGGUCCAAAGAUUUAUCGCCUGAGGAUGAGCCCGCGUAGGAUUAGCUAGUUGGUGAGGUAAAAGCUCACCAAGGCGACGAUCCUUAGCNGGUCUGAGAGGAUGAUCAGCCACACUGGGACUGAGACACGGCCCAGACUCCUACGGGAGGCAGCAGUGGGGAAUAUUGGACAAUGGGCGAAAGCCUGAUCCAGCAAUGCCGCGUGAGUGAUGAAGGCCUUAGGGUUGUAAAGCUCUUUUACCCGGGAUGAUAAUGACAGUACCGGGAGAAUAAGCCCCGGCUAACUCCGUGCCAGCAGCCGCCGUAAU